CGGUUCCCGGGUGGGAGCGGCCCGACGGCUGCUGUGUCCGCGAGUCGGCCUCGCCGCGGGGCCGGCUGCUGUUUCCUAACCCUGGGGCUUCGGAGGCUGCCGUCGGGACACGGUGCGACCCUCGCAGGGGAGGCACGCUGCGGCCGGCGCGGGCCCGGGGCCCCGGAGCGCGGAGCCGCCAGGCGCAUCCCAGCGGCGAGGAACAGCCAUGUGAGGGAACAGCAAGGUGGCCGUCUACAGGCCAGAAAGAGACCUCUCACCAGAAACUGAACUUGCCGGCACCGUGACCAUGGACUUCCAGCCUCCAGAACUGUGAGAAAAUAAAUGGCUGUAGUUUACGCCA